rnacentral:rRNA from 1 species
AACGAACGCUGGCGGCAGGCUUAACACAUGCAAGUCGAACGCCCCGCAAGGGGAGUGGCAGACGGGUGAGUAACGCGUGGGAACGUACCUUUCAGUUCGGAAUAACUCAGGGAAACUUGUGCUAAUACCGGAUACGCCCGCAAGGGGAAAGAUUUAUCGCUGAAAGAUCGGCCCGCGUUGGAUUAGCUAGUUGGUGGGGUAAAGGCCUACCAAGGCGACGAUCCAUAGCUGGUCUGAGAGGAUGAUCAGCCACACUGGGACUGAGACACGGCCCAGACUCCUACGGGAGGCAGCAGUGGGGAAUAUUGGACAAUGGGCGCAAGCCUGAUCCAGCCAUGCCGCGUGUGUGAUGAAGGCCUUAGGGUUGUAAAGCACUUUUCACCGAUGAAGAUAAUGACGGUAGUCGGAGAAGAAGCCCCGGCUAACUUCGUG